rnacentral:rRNA from 1 species
CCUACGAGUGGCUGCAGUGGGGAAUAUUGGACAAUGGGGGCAACCCUGAUCCAGCCAUGCCGCGUGUGUGAAGAAGGCCCUCGGGUUGUAAAGCACUUUCAGUGAGGAAGAACGCCUGGUGGUUAAUACCCAUCAGGAAAGACAUCACUCACAGAAGAAGCACCGGCUAACUCCGUGCCAGCAGCCGCGGUAAUACGGAGGGUGCGAGCGUUAAUCGGAAUUACUGGGCGUAAAGCGCGCGUAGGUGGCUUGAUAAGCCGGUUGUGAAAGCCCCGGGCUCAACCUGGGAACGGCAUCCGGAACUGUCAAGCUAGAGUGCAGGAGAGGAAGGUAGAAUUCCCGGUGUAGCGGUGAAAUGCGUAGAGAUCGGGAGGAAUACCAGUGGCGAAGGCGGCCUUCUGGACUGACACUGACACUGAGGUGCGAAAGCGUGGGUAGCAAACAGGAUUAGAUACCCCAGUAGUC